UUGAGUCUCCAUCCUUAAAAAAAAAAAAAAAAUUGAUUCUCCAAAACAAACAGUGUUUUUCUCAUCUCAUGAACAUUAAUUGAACAUUACAGAGCAUAUUUCACAUCGAUCGAACGAACAUGGAGUCUUAUUGCAUCCUAUGUUUGCCCUCUGCAGUUGCAUCUUUUCUUCUCAUCGCUUCUUCUUCCCUUUCAUUUUCACACUCUUCUUCACUCCUUGGCGUUCAUCCUCUAGAUGAGAAAUAUUAUAGCUCUCAGUUCAUCAAGUGUAAGGAUGGAUCCAAAUCCUUUUCUAGAGACCACCGUCUCAAUGACAAUUUCUGUGACUGCUCUGAUGGCACCGAUGAACCUGGAACUUCAGCUUGUCCAGCAGGAAAGUUUUAUUGCAGAAACCUAGGAAGCAAGCCACAGUUUAUAGUUUCUUCCCAUGUUAAUGAUCGUUUUUGUGAUUGUUGUGAUGGGAGUGAUGAAUAUGAUGGAACCAUUCAUUGUCCCAACACAUGUGUUAUGGGUGGCAAUGCAGAAAACAUGUAUGGGAAUUAUAAUUCAAAAGCAAGUGAUCAGGGCAUUUUUCCUGGAAAAGAAGCAAAAGAUGAAGCGAAAUCAGAGGAAUCAGUUUAUAACCUUAAUGGCUUAAAGCUGGCAAUUAUUCUACAAGUGGUUCUAGUUGUUUUUCUGGUAUUUCUCUGGAGUUUUCGUUGCCACACCAGAUAUAGGAGGAGGCGUUCCCGCUGAACUGAAACAGACCUUGGCGUUUACACGAUUUUGAACUGUGGUAAAUCAGCUAAACUACGCUAUACAGGGUAGCUGGCUAGCUUGGCUAUGCCACACAGACCAUCUUUAUCAAAAGUGCCGCGCUUCAUCCUGAUAUAACCAGAUUCACCCCACUCAGCACCCCAUGAAUUCCUCACAAUCCAAUACUUGACACUAUUCGCUUCUCCGUACCCAACUACAUUCACACCAUGAUUGAGUUGCUUCCCACAUAAGCCAGAGAAAACACCUUCAGAAUAAAGUUGAAAUAAAUAACUUCCUGCAUCAAUUGCAACAGACACAGGUUGAUGUGCAGCUGCAGCUUUAAGCUUAGUUUCAUUACCAGCAGGAACUACUUCGUAUCCACUUAUACUCGCAGCAUGAUGUGCGGCUUUUUCCUUGUUACAGGCAGUUCCUUAAUUUAGAAGGAGGCAAAUAUUAAAUAUCCCCAACAUCCCUAAUCAUGAUUUAAAGCUUUGUCAAAGUAUUUAAAAGACAACAAGAAUUCCAGUUAAUAUAAGAUCAUGGAAGAAGGUGGCUAGAAGCACAUCCACAAAGAGAGGGGAGCAUGUUGUAUUAUAUUAUUAUAUACCCUACAUGUUGUAUUAUAUUAUUAUAUACCCUACAUGUUUGAGGAAAAAGCAAAGAAAGCUAGCAUAGUAUUAGUGAGUGCAAACAAUUCACAUGGGGGGAUAUAACAUUAGGUCAAAUUUCUAUAAUAAUUGUUUUUUUGGUACAUAUAAUUAUUGUUUUUCUAACUCUGUUGAAAUGUUUGCUUUAAUCGGUGGUCCUAAUUUGUUUUCUAAUUUCAAUCAAAGUUGGGAAUUUCAUACUAUCAAGGUAAUUUUCAUGAGUUUGUUUUGACUUUGAGUAAGGUUUUAUGAAGUUACAUAUUUUUUUUAGCUUUGUUAAGCUUUGGUAUAUUAAUUAUUGUGCAGUUACCGGCUUUCUCUGUUUUUUUUUUUGUUUCGUAAAUAAGUUUUGAUUGUUGGAUAACCUCGGUUCCUAAUUUUUCUCAAUUGAUAACAACCUCUUUUUAAUUUGAUUUCAAAUUAGCAACUACUAAUAUAAAAUAUCCUAUCAAUUAGUUGUUACCUAUUUUACUUAAGUGACAACCACUUUAAUUAGUUGUUUCUAUUUUUCAUAUUUGCUAUUUUAUUGAUUUCAAUAUCUUUUAUUUGUAUUUAUGGUUAUUAUUUUGAUUUAUGAGAUUAUUUUCUUUCUUUCUCUUUCUGCUUCACAAAUUUCAGAUUGAUGAGAAAGUGGCAAGAGAGAUUAUAAACUACAAGUCCCUUUGUCACCGUUAACUACAUUGUUAAGGAGAGUCUUUGAACGUUGGAUGGUGUGAUAGAGCUGCUGAUGUUGGACUUCAAGUGAUGAGUUUCAAAGCCCCUUUUUCGAGAUCCUGUGGAGAUCCCUUGGAGUGAUUUUGGUGCUGAUUAUGUCAUAGAGUCUUCAGGGGUUUUUACAACAUUAGAGAAAGCUUCAUCACAUUUGGCAUGUGCAUAUGAUAUCAACAAUAUAUAUUGCUGUGAAGAGAAAUGGGGUUUAAAGGCAUAUUUUCAUGGUUAUAGCUAUUUACUAUAUUGGUGUAUCUAUAAUUACAUGUUGAUUAAGGUCAUGUUUUCGUGAUUCAGGAACCCCUGCUCUCACAUCCAGGGGUUUUAUUGAGUGCAAUUUUAAAAAAAUUGCUAAAUUCUUUGAUGUGGCAGUCAAAAUAGCCUUACAGAUUAAGGAAAAUUCUAAAGGUUGGUUCUACCUUCCUGCAUCAUAGUUUUUUUUCACUUAUGCUGCCUCACUACUUGAUGAAAUGUCUAUAUAAAAAACUGAUGGUUUUGUGGUUA